AUUUCCUGACAGGUUGGGUGUCUCACCACCUUUGCCAUCCUGCUCCAUGAAAUCCCCCAUGAGGUGGGCGACUUUGCCAUCCUGCUGCGUGCGGGGUUUGACCGCUGGAGUGCCGCCCGCAUGCAGCUAUCCACAGCCCUGGGAGGGGUGCUGGGGGCCUGUUUCGCCCUGUGUGCCCAGUCUCCCAGAGGGACAGG